UAGGGAGACCUAAUCCAUUUAGAAAUCGGAAACAAUGAAAAUUGUCAAUAGAAACUAAAUUGGUCUAACCUAGGUCGUUCGAGAUUGGUAGACAUCUUUCAAAGUAUUAUUCGGCUUCGUUCAAAACCAUAUAUAAUAAAUGGAAAAAGACAGCACCUAAUUGUCAAAGUUAGACUGCUGGAUGAAGUUCCAGCCAGAACCUUGAAAACUGCAUAAGAGAACAAGAAAAAGCAGGCAGACACAGACAUUUAGAUGGAUGUGGAAGCAAAAGAAAUUGU
rnacentral:misc_RNA from 1 species